GUAGCUCACAAAGUAAGGCCCACUCUUCUCUUCUCAAAUUUACUACACAACCAAAUUCAACAAAAGUUAUUGUGCGUGGGCCGACAUAUGGCGGAUCCGCCAUCACCUGCCUUCGGCACCAAUCGCCAGCCUUGCUUGCCCCUCCACUCCGUUAAUUAUAACAACCGAACAAAUUCAACAAAAACCCUAGGAAUUUUGAAUUAAGAAAUGUUAAAUUCAGAGGGAAAGAAUUGAAAAAUCGAAUCAAAUGCAGAGUUAAGAGAUUUGGGAGACGCCGAUCGAUUGAAGAGUCAAGAGGGAAAGUUCAAUUUUGAUUAGAGAGAGAGAGAGAGAUUUAGAGAGAGAAAGAGGGAGGAAUCGAUUGAUUGGUGAGUUAGGGUUUUACAGAGAGAAGAAAGAGGGGUCGUAGCGGAGCUGAAGAGAGUCGUCUGAAUCUGCUAAUUCCAACA
rnacentral:lncRNA from 1 species